GUGAAAGAAUAGUAACAGGACUAAGACUAGUCUAUUGCUACUUACAGUAAUAAAGAAAUGUUAUUGGCUUUUCCCGACAUUACAGCCUAUACAACAAAUAUCGCUACCAAGAUAUUACUCCUGGAAUUCAACAACUCUAAUGCAACAUAAAAAUCACUGAAAUUGGGCAAGUAACACAGCCACUAGUUACUAAAUCCAAACUCGUUACUAAGAAAUUAUUGGACUUGCUCUGUUGGGGUGCGCCAAGCCCAUGCUGUAGUGCAACGCAUGGGCAACACUCGAAGGCCCGAGUAGCAAGCUACACAUUGGAUCUUCCCCCUCAAAAAAUAAAUUUAAUAUCGUGUGAGCCAAUGGCCCACAUAUCAGAUAUUAAACUGAUAAGAACAGAUACUACACUUGAUCUUAGCCAAAAG
rnacentral:lncRNA from 1 species